rnacentral:misc_RNA from 1 species
GAUGAAGAACGUAGCGAAAUGCGAUACGUAAUGUGAAUUGCAGAAUUCAGUGAAUCAUCGAAUCUUUGAACGCAUAUUGCGCUCUUUGGUAUUCCGAAGAGCAUGCUUGUUUGAGUAUCAGUAAACACCUCAAAGUCUUUUUUUCUUGAAGAAAAAGACCUUGGACUUGAGCAAUCCCAACUCUUCUUUCAGAAGAGGCGGGUUGCUUGAAAUGCAGGUGCAGCUGGACAUUCUCCUGAGCUAAAAGCAUAUUCAUUUAGUCCCGUCAAACGGAUUAUUACUUUUGCUGCAGCUAACAUAAAGGGAGUUUGACCAUUUUGGCUGACUGAUGCAGGAAUUUCACAAGAGUCUUCAAAACGCUCUUGUUAAACUCGAUCUCAAAUCAAGUAAGACUACCCGCUGAACUUAAGAAUAUCAAUAAUCGGAGGA